rnacentral:tRNA from 2 species
CGGCGAGUAGCGCAGCUUGGUAGCGCAACUGGUUUGGGACCAGUGGGUCGGAGGUUCGAAUCCGGUUUGGGACCA